rnacentral:tRNA from 1 species
UCCCUGGUGGUCCAGUGGCUAAGACUCCAUGCUCCCAAUGCAGGGGGCCCGGGUUCGAUCCCUGGUUAGGGAA